CCGCGUUUCCACCGCAGGAACUUUACCCAGGAACUAGGGACUUGGUCCGGUACUUGGUGUGUUUCCACCGCAGGAACCAGGAACUAAAUAAAAGUUCCGGGUAAAAAAAUGCCCCCCAGAAAGUCCCUGCUGGCGAGGUGGUACUUUUUUAAAGUUCCGGAACUUUCGGGGGCGGGACUUUGGCGCUAAACAUGCUGAUUGGUUGAGUUCAGGCAGCAUUGGUUGAGUUCAACCACCAUUUAUUCGGAUCAACAUUUUCAAAAUAUUACUGUUAUUGUGUCAUGAAAUGUAAUUUUAAAAGUAUUUCAGGCGAGAAUGUAGUUGUUUAAAACUCAAAUCUGUUGUUUAUUUAUAAAGACAGCGCCUAUUUAAAAAUGUGUUUCGCCGAUCUCGUAGACGGUGAGCUCCACUCGAUCAGCGGGAGCUCAGUCCUCAUGUAUCCGCCGAGAAGCAGCCUCUCCUGGGAUAGACCUUCUGUGCCGCUGGCUCUGAUGUGUCUUUAGUGGUUAAACAUAAAAUAUAAUUCAGCUGCGGGGUAAAUCUAACAGGUUUUCUUUGGUCUGUAUUCAAUUUAUCUAUAUGUUAAAAUGAAAAUAAAAAAGGCGAAUUUAUAUAAUA